GACGAACGCUGGCGGCGUGCCUAAUACAUGCAAGUUGAGCGAUGAAGAUUGGUGCUUGCACCAAUUUGAAGCACAGCGAACGGGUGAGUAACGCGGGGGGAAUCUGCCUUUGAGCGGGGGACAACAUUUGGAAACGAAUGCUAAUACCGCAUAACAACUUUAAACAUAAGUUUUAAGUUUGAAAGAUGCAAUUGCAUCACUCAAAGAUGAUCCCGCGUUGUAUUAGCUAGUUGGUGAGGUAAAGGCUCACCAAGGCGAUGAUACAUAGCCGACCUGAGAGGGUGAUCGGCCACAUUGGGACUGAGACACGGCCCAAACUCCUACGGGAGGCAGCAGUAGGGAAUCUUCGGCAAUGGACGAAAGUCUGACCGAGCAACGCCGCGUGAGUGAAGAAGGUUUUCGGAUCGUAAAACUCUGUUGGUAGAGAAGAACGUUGGUGAGAGUGGAAAGCUCAUCAAGUGACGGUAACUACCCAGAAAGGGACGGCUAACUACGUG
rnacentral:rRNA from 1 species